UCUUAUAAAUUAAGACUUGAAUGAAUGGUAUUAUGAAUUAAAACUUUUUUAUAUAAAAAAAUAAAAUUAAUUUUUUUAGUGAAGAAACUAAAAUAUUGAUGUAAGACGAGAAGACCCUAUAAGUUUUAUAUAUACUGUAUAUUUUAUUGGGGUAAUAAAAGAAAAAUGUUUCUUUAAAAAUAUUUAAUGAUAAUUUUUGAUCUUAUAAUAUAAAUUAGAAGAAAAAUUACUUUAGGGAUAACAGCAUAAUAUUUUUUGAGAGCUCUUAUCGACAAAAAUGUUUGUGACCUCGAUGUUGGAUUAAAAAAGUUAUAUAAGUGAAGAUAUUAUAAUAAUUAGUCUGUUCGACUAUUAAAAUUUUA
rnacentral:rRNA from 1 species